rnacentral:rRNA from 1 species
GACGAACGCUGGCGGCGGGCUUAACACAUGCAAGUCGAACGGAAAGGCCCUGCUUUUGUGGGGUGCUCGAGUGGCGAACGGGUGAGUAACACGUGAGUAACCUGCCCUUGACUUUGGGAUAACUUCAGGAAACUGGGGCUAAUACCGGAUAGGAGCUCCUGUUGCAUGGUGGGGGUUGGAAAGUUUCGGCGGUUGGGGAUGGACUCGCGGCUUAUCAGCUUGUUGGUGGGGUAGUGGCUUACCAAGGCUUUGACGGGUAGCCGGCCUGAGAGGGUGACCGGCCACAUUGGGACUGAGAUACGGCCCAGACUCCUACGGGAGGCAGCAGUGGGGAAUAUUGCACAAUGGGCGGAAGCCUGAUGCAGCAACGCCGCGUGCGGGAUGACGGCCUUCGGGUUGUAAACCGCUUUCGCCUGUGACGAAGCGUGAGUGACGGUAAUGGGUAAAGAAGCACCGGCUAACUACGUG